rnacentral:rRNA from 1 species
UACGGAGGAUGCGAGCGUUAUCCGGAUUUAUUGGGUUUAAAGGGUGCGCAGGCGGCACGGCAAGCCGGCGGUCAAAUCGCGGGGCUCAACCCCGCCCAGCCGUCGGAACUGCCGGGCUAGAGUGGGCGAGAAGUGCGCGGAAUGCGUGGUGUAGCGGUGAAAUGCAUAGAUAUCACGCAGAACUCCGAUUGCGAAGGCAGCGUACCGGCGCCCUACUGACGCUCAGGCACGAAAGCGUGGGUAUCGAACAGG